GACGAACGCUGGCGGCGUGCCUAAUACAUGCAAGUAGAACGCUGAAGAGAGGAGCUUGCUCUUCUUGGAUGAGUUGCGAACGGGUGAGUAACGCGUAGAUAACCUGCCUUGUAGCGGGGGAUAACUAUUGGAAACGAUAGCUAAUACCGCAUAACAAUGGAUGACACAUGUCAUUUAUUUGAAAGGGGCAAUUGCUCCACUACAAGAUGGACCUGCGUUGUAUUAGCUAGUAGGUGAGGUAACGGCUCACCUAGGCGACGAUACAUAGCCGACCUGAGAGGGUGAUCGGCCACACUGGGACUGAGACACGGCCCAGACUCCUACGGGAGGCAGCAGUAGGGAAUCUUCGGCAAUGGGGGCAACCCUGACCGAGCAACGCCGCGUGAGUGAAGAAGGUUUUCGGAUCGUAAAGCUCUGUUGUAAGUCAAGAACGAGUGUGAGAGUGGAAAGUUCACACUGUGACGGUAGCUUACCAGAAAGGGACGGCUAACUACGUG
rnacentral:rRNA from 1 species